rnacentral:miRNA from 1 species
CCUCGCGGCCACGUGUAUUCUCGGGUAUAUAAUACGUCUGUUGCUGUUAUUGCUUAAGAAUACACGUAGCUGCGGGGAG